CAUUUCCUGCUGGGGGUUGUGGAGAGCAAUAAGCAAGGUGGGUGGCAAGGGCCAGAAGGACGGGCCAGGUGGGGGAUGGGCUGGGGGAGCCUUCCCUUCAGGUACUCUUCUACCAUCCCCUUUUCUGGCUCUCGAGGGCCCAGCACAUGGUAUGUGCACAGACAUGUUGUUCGAAUGAAUGAAGAUUUUCCCACCUGGGUCUGCUGCCUCCUUCAUGUUUUACCACCUGGUGUCACUUCAGAUUCUGAAACUAUCUGUGGCUCAUCUACUUAGGGAGGACACUGAUGUGGACAUUGCAGAAUAUCAGCUCCAGUUUGUUGUCUUUCAGGAGGUGUAGCCUGGUUGUGGCCUGGGGAGUUUGGCUGUUCUGUGUGGUGUGCCUCCACGGUGUGGUCUCCAGUGAGCUGCUCAGCAGGUGUAGACCUGGGCAGGGCGAAGCUCUCUGGGCUGUUGACUGUGAGGCCCCUCCCCACCAGUAGAUUUCCAGGCCUCUUCAGUUGUGCAUUCAGCCACAGCAGGGUUACUUUUAUCGGCGUGAUCUUGGUUCACUGCAACCUCUGCCUCCCCGGACUCAAGCGAUUCUCCUGCCUCAGCCUCCUGAAUAGCUGGGACUAUAGGCACCCGCCAUGCCCUGCUAAUUUUUGUAUUUUUAGUAGAGGCAGGGUUUCACCAUGUUGGCCAGGCUGGUCUUGAACUACUGACCUUAUGUGAUCCACCCACCUCGGCCUCCCAAAGUUCUGGGAUUACAGGCGUGAGCCUUUUUCCUCUCAAGGCGUGGCCUUUUUCCUCUAACUCUUUAAAGAUUCUACUCCAUUGUUUCUUUCAUCCUAUGUUCUAUUGACAUCUAAUGUCAGCUUGAUACUUAUUCCUUAAUUAGUAAUCUACUCUUUCUCUUUUAAAAUUCUCUAUUUGUCUUUGAUAUUCUUAAAAUUCAGUAUAAUGUAUUUAAUUGUGCAUUUUUGCUAUCUGUUUUAUUUGGCCCUGUAUGAGCCCUUCCAAUCUAAGGCCUUUCGUCUUUAAUUUUGGAGAGUGUUUCUUUUUUGUUUCUUUAAAUAUUUUCUCGUCCACUUUUCUCUCCUGGGGCUUCUAUUGGUAGAUUGUUGGACCUGCUAUUUCUAACCUUUAUAGCCUUUAGAUUUUCUUUAAAUUAAAGAAAAAAAAACUCUAUUCUUUCCUGCUACCUACUGUGGAAGCCUGUUCUUUAUAACUACUCAUCUUUGAAUGAGAUAAGUUUUCCCUGUAUCACUAUUCAUAGGAAGACUGAGUGGUUGAGAGCUCAGAGUUCCGGGCUAAGAGAAAUUUUUCUUAUAUCCCAAGUUUAUUUAUGAAUUUGUUCCUUUAUAUUUCCCCAGCCAAUGGAUAUAGGUUACUGCAGGACUAGUCGAGAGGCAAGGUUUAUCUUCUCCCUCCAUCACACUGCUUUCUGAAAAUAACGCUUGUUUGUGUAAUUCCUUCAGCCCCACUUCUUUUGUUUCUCUGAAGCAAAGUCGGUCUAGGAAAGCUCUUGCUGCCAGCCUAUACACCCUGCUGUGAGAGAUUUUGGUUUUGUAUCGAAGGUAUGCUCCUAGAAGCAGCGUACAUACUGAUUCUUUACAUCUGCAGCUGGGUGCAUCCUCUCUUCUCCCCAGUCCUGUUCAUGGCUACUUCUUUUGAUGCCUAUCUAUCUCUUGGUCCAUCUUUCUUGUAGCUUCAUUGAAGAUUUCUCAUUCUCCUUGUCAUUUUUUUAAUUUUUGGCGACUUACAAGAGGAGAAAAGGAAUAUGUCAUUUUUAUACUGCCAUCUUCACAUUGCCAUCUUCGAACAGGAAGUCUAAGCCAUCUUAGAAAUUCUUGUAUUUUCAGCUUGUAGCAAUUAUUUCACGGUAAUGAGUUCUAUUAGUCUGCUAACUGAAUGUAAAACAGUUUAUUCAUUUGUUUCAAAAUGUGCCUCUCUUGUUCCAUUAUUUCAGGAUUGGCAAAUACUAUAUUUACCCACAGGAUAGCCAUCUUGAAUUUAAAUAUUUUCACUAUAUCCUACCCUCCAAAUUUUAUCUUUUUACGUAAAGAUCACUAUUGUCAUAAGCCAGCCACUCAUCCUCUUCCAUGGGCCAUCUCUAACUUUAUUAUGUGUCUUAAAGAGAAGAAUCUAAAACUGAGUUCAUUAUCCUAUGUGUGGCCACACCAUUGUUUUGUACAAAGUCACCCCUGAAUAUUGGUUUGUGAGCAUUCUAGUAUUCCUUGCUGCCAAUGCCAAAGAGCAGAGCUCUGCCCUCCAAUGACAGAUGACAGUGAUAUUUAAAAAAUAAAUCAAUGAAAGUCAUUCCUUGCCUUCUGGAAUCUCCCAUUCUAAAGUCUAGUUUAGGAAAGUUCUCUCUCUCUCUGAUACACACACACACACACACACACACACACACACACACACACACACGCACACUACCACCACCAUCACCAACAACGAUAAAAGACUUAAGAACACUUAAUAAUGUGUAAAAAGUGGCAAAGUAGCAAAACGAAACUAUAUUUGUAACUGCUGUGGAGUCACAGAGCAGUAGCAUUGUCACUGUUGGGUUAAGGGAAGUCUCCCUGCAAAUAGGAAGUUUUACGUGGAGUUUAAACAAACGAUAGUUUAAGUCAUUGCUGGGCAAUUUAUUAGCUAUAUAAUCUUGAGCAAAAUGACUGGUCUUUCCAAAAACCAGUUAACUCUGUCAUAAAAUAGUAUCUGCCUCAAAGAGAUUUUUUAAGUUAACUGAGAUGACAAAUGCAAAACCCUUAGCACAAUGCAUGGCACAUAAUAAGUAUUCAGGAAAUCUCAGCUAUUAUUAUUUUUAUGAGGAGAGAAAUUGACUUACUGCAGAGGAGGUGAACAUUUUUGGCAUGAAGGCCUGAGGUUUUGCGUGAGGAUGUCAUGUAUGAAAGAGAGGAAGUAGAGUACUUGAACCAGAGAAGAGAUUCCAUUUAGAAAGCCAUUAGAUGGAGGUGUGGUGGUGGGUGGGAGUGGUGAGGAGAGGGAGCUGUACAAAUGAUGAAUUAAGGCCAAGUGGAAGAGCUUUAAUUUGAUAUGAUGAACAACAAUAGCUACUGCAUAACAAUGGGAUCCCAUGAAAGCAGGUUUCACGGAUUCUCUGGGACUGCAUUCCUCAAUAAAGUAUUAUCACAUAAA